CGAUCCGUCCAGUGGUUUGGGCUAGGCGAUGAUAAAUCAGUCAGGACAUGUUAUUAAAAUGUUAUUUUUUAUAUAUAUAGAGCUGACCCAUGUCCACUUCGUUGAGCGGUAAACAUUUUUACUUGUGAUGAAAUUACGAGUGUGGUUCGGUUAGUACUGAGCGCUAUGAUUUAUUUUCCGACUAUUAAAAAGAGGGUUAUAUUUUUACUGCAUAUUUACGUAUGUAUUUGCAUGCCAAUUUGGCUAUAUAA